rnacentral:tRNA from 1 species
ACCCUUUUAGUCUAAAGGUUAAGACUUCAUUUUUUCACGAUGAAAAUAUGAGUUCAAUUCUCAUAAAGGGUA